UACAGAGGGUGCAAGCGUUGUUCGGAAUUACUGGGCGUAAAGCGCGUGUAGGCGGCUUGUUAAGUCCUGUGUGAAAGCCCCGGGCUCAACCCGGGAAGUGCGCAGGAUACUGGCAAGCUGGAGUGGCGGAGAGGGUGGCGGAAUUCCCGGUGUAGAGGUGAAAUUCGUAGAUAUCGGGAGGAACACCUGUGGCGAAGGCGGCCACCUGGACGUUGACUGACGCUGAGACGCGAAAGCAUGGGGAGCAAAC
rnacentral:rRNA from 1 species